rnacentral:rRNA from 1 species
AUUGAACGCUGGCGGUAGGCCUAACACAUGCAAGUCGAGCGAGCGGCGGACGGGUGAGUAAUGUCUGGGAAACUGCCUGAUGGAGGGGGAUAACUACUGGAAACGGUAGCUAAUACCGCAUACCAUCAGAUGUGCCCAGAUGGGAUUAGCUAGUAGGUGGGGUAACGGCUCACCUAGGCGACGAUCCCUAGCUGGUCUGAGAGGAUGACCAGCUACACGGGAACGGCGACACGGUCCAGAAUCCUACGGGAGGGAGCAUGGGGGAAUAUUCCGAAAUGGGCGCAAGCCUGAUGCAGCCAUGCCGCGUGUGUGAAGAAGGGCUGCGGGUUGUAAAGCACUUACAGCGGGGAGUCGUUACACGCAGAAGAAUCACCGGCUAACUCCGCGCCAGCCGCCGCGGUAAUAC